rnacentral:miRNA from 1 species
AUUGUCCUCUUUCCCGCCCUCUUGCCUACGUCUGAAACCUGUAAGCUUGUCUGGUGGGGUCUCAGGUGGCUGAGGAAGGUAGCUCAUGUGUCACUAAGAUCUCCUUCGUCAAGGGCUGCAGUGCCUCCUCCCUGGCUCC